CCUACGGGUGGCUGCAGUGGGGAAUAUUGGACAAUGGGCGCAAGCCUGAUCCAGCCAUGCCGCGUGAGUGAUGAAGGCCUUCGGGUUGUAAAGCUCUUUUGGCGGGGACGAUGAUGACGGUACCCGCAGAAUAAGCCCCGGCAAACUUCGUGCCAGCAGCCGCGGUAAGACGAAGGGGGCUAGCGUUGUUCGGAAUUACUGGGCGUAAGGGGCGCGUAGGCGGUCCAUUAAGUCAGGCGUGAAAGCCCUGGGCUCAACCUGGGAGUUGCGGUUGAUACUGGCGGACUAGAGAGUGGGAGAGGUUGGUGGAAUUCCCAGUGUAGAGGUGAAAUUCGUAGAUAUUGGGAAGAACACCGGUGGCGAAGGCGGCCAACUGGACCAUUUCUGACGCUGAGGCGCGAAAGCGUGGGGAGCAAACAGGAUUAGAUACCCGAGUAGUC
rnacentral:rRNA from 1 species